GUGCCUGCCUGCCUGCCAACAACUACUAAAAUUGGAACUAUACAGAGAAGAUUAGCAUGGCCCCUGCGCAAGGAUGACGCGCAAAUUCGUGAAGCGUUCCAUAAAAAA
rfam:Chelonia mydas contig202039, whole genome shotgun sequence.